ACGUCGUGAAGACACCAGAGAGCUGAAUAGCGAAGAAGCUAAUGGGAGAAACGCAGAAUUGGCUAAAGACUCCAAACCCCCAACAACGAAGUCUCCAACAUUCGGCUCAGAGCCUUUCAAACAGAAUGAGCAGGUGAAGGUAGAAAGUGUGUGUGAGCU